rnacentral:rRNA from 1 species
AGCGAACGCUGGCGGCGUGCUUAACACAUGCAAGUCGAACGAUGAAGCUGGAGCUUGCUCUAGCGGAUUAGUGGCGAACGGGUGAGUAACACGUGAGCAAUCUGCCCUUGACUCUGGGAUAACUGCGGGAAACUGUAGCUAAUACCGGAUACUUUCACCGGGGGGCAUCCUCUGGUGAUGAAAGAAUUUCGGUCAAGGAUGAGCUCGCGGCCUAUCAGCUUGUUGGUGAGGUAACGGCUCACCAAGGCGACGACGGGUAACCGGCCUGAGAGGGUGAGCGGUCACACUGGGACUGAGACACGGCCCAGACUCCUACGGGAGGCAGCAGUGGGGAAUAUUGCACAAUGGGCGCAAGCCUGAUGCAGCAACGCCGCGUGAGGGAUGAAGGCCUUCGGGUUGUAAACCUCUUUUAGCAGGGAAGAAGCGAAAGUGACGGUACCUGCAGAAAAAGCACCGGCUAACUACGUGCCAGCCGCCGCCGUAA